GGGAAACUCAGCAGGUUGGUGCUGGAAGCCUGGAAUUCACCAACUGGGUAUGUGAAAGACACACUAGGAAUCUGGCUGAGCUAGACUUGAGGCGACCACCCACAGGAGUGCUAACGACACUCCCCAGGAGGGGCGCAUUCCUGAGAGUCUCCAGCGCUGUCCCGCUUUCCGCCCCAGGAACAAGCAGCCUAGAGUCUUUCUUACCUUCACAGUCUCUCUGCUGCCCUCUACUGGUGAAGCUAUGCAUCUCGCCAUCUGGAGAAAAAAAGGAGCAAAGGACAAGGUCAUAGAAGCACAUGUUCGGCUGUUAUGUCUGCCGAAAGGGAAGCUGGUUCCUUCAGCCGAGGAAUCCAGAGUCAUGGACUGAAGAGCUACCGGGUUCUCAGCCUCCCAGGUCUGAAGGUGGCCAUUUUUGAACUGCCCAGUUGUUGGAACCCUGAGAAAGGGGCCAGCUACAGAACCCAACCGAGUACCAGCUGUUCUGAUUCAUCUGCCAAGACAUCAAGCAUUGCUGCACCAAAGCAGGAGGUGGCUCUACUCCAUCUGCAUUCCUAGACUGGCCUGGACAUUGCCACCCGCGUGUCCACUGCUGGUCUUGUGGUAGCAGCAGGACCAUUGCUGAGCUGGGGGCAGCUAGUGAGGAGUGGGGCCACACAUGGAGAGACUGUGAGAUGUUAUGAAUGCAAGGGAUAUCUUUUAAAUAAGAAAAUACAUUGAAAGAGUCCCCAACACGUUUCAAGAUCAGUUUGGGAAGAAAAUUAGUUUUCUGUUUGUUUUAUGUAAUUUCCACACAAACCUCCUAAAGCAAAAUCAAUAUGCAAUAAAACCCUG
rnacentral:lncRNA from 1 species